UACCCGCGGUCCAAGUCGCAGCCAUUAUUAUUGAGUCUAAAACAUCCGUAGCUUGCUUAGUAAGUUUCCUGUGAAAUUCUAUCUCUCAAGGAUAGAGCGGGCAGGGAGUACUGCUAGGCUAGAGAUCGGAAGACGUGAAAAGUACGUCCAAAGUAGCGGUAAAAUGUGUUAAUCUUGGGCGGACUAACAACAGCGAAGGCAUUUCACGAGGACGGUUCUGACAGUAAGGGAUGAAGGCUAGGGGCGCAAAACG
rnacentral:rRNA from 1 species